rnacentral:rRNA from 1 species
UGCCAGCAGCCGCGGUAAUACGUAGGGGGCGAGCGUUGUCCGGAUUUAUUGGGUUUAAAGGGUCCGCAGGCGGUUUGUUAAGUCAGAGGUGAAAUCCUACCGCUCAACGGUAGAAUUGCCUUUGAUACUGAUAGACUUGAGUUAUUGUGAAGUAGUUAGAAUGUGUAGUGUAGCGGUGAAAUGCAUAGAUAUUACACAGAAUACCAAUUGCGAAGGCAGAUUACUAACAAUUAACUGACGCUGAGGGACGAAAGCGUGGGUAGCGAACAGGAUUAGAUA